rnacentral:rRNA from 1 species
CCAGCAGCUGCGGUAAUUCCAGCUCCAAUAGUAUACAUUAAAGUUGUUGCAGUUAAAACGCUCGUAGUCGGAAGGUGGGGGGCCGGGGGCGGAGCGAGGCGACUCGGAUCUGCAGCUGGUGCCCUUCGGGAGUGGGUCAACCACCCCCGCGUUACUGUGAGGAAAUUAGAGUGUUCAAGGCAGGCGUACGCUUGGAUAGGUUAGCAUGGAAUAACGGAGAGGUCCGUUGGUUGGAGCUUGGGUUGAUAGGGACAGUUGGGGGCAUUGGUAUUUGGCAGUCAGAGGUGAAAUUCUAGGAUUUGCCAAAGACGGACGGGGGCGAAAGCAUUUGCCAAGGAUGUUUUCAUUGAUCAAGAACGAAAGU